UGGGGAAUAUUGCGCAAUGGGGGGAACCCUGACGCAGCCAUGCCGCGUGAAUGAAGAAGGCCUUAGGGUUGUAAAGUUCUUUCGGUAUUGAGGAAGGUUGAUGUGUUAAUAGCACAUCAAAUUGACGUUAAAUACAGAAGAAGCACCGGCUAACUCCGUGCCAGCAGCCGCGGUAAUACGGAGGGUGCGAGCGUUAAUCGGAAUAACUGGGCGUAAAGGGCACGCAGGCGGUUAUUUAAGUGAGGUGUGAAAGCCCCGGGCUUAACCUGGGAAUUGCAUUUCAGACUGGGUAACUAGAGUACUUUAGGGAGGGGUAGAAUUCCACGUGUAGCGGUGAAAUGCGUAGAGAUGUGGAGGAAUACCGAAGGCGAAGGCAGCCCCUUGGGAAUGUACUGACGCUCAUGUGCGAAAGCGUGGGGAGCAAACAGGAUUAGAUACCCUGGUAGUCCACGCUGUAAACGCUGUCGAUUUGGGGGUUGGGGUUUAACUCUGGCGCCCGUAGCUAACGUGAUAAAUCGACCGCCUGGGGAGUACGGUCGCAAGGUUA
rnacentral:rRNA from 1 species